rnacentral:misc_RNA from 1 species
UCAUCGUGAAAUUCUCGCCCGUGAAAUUCUCGCCUAUGAUGGCGGUCCUUGUGGCCGUCGCGCUCUCCGCCCCAGCCUUCGCGCAGCAGGCCCAGACCGGGCAGGGGGAAACCAUGCCGGGAAUGCAGAUGCUGCGGCCCAUGAACAUGGACAACAUGAGUGCCGCCCAGAAGGAAUACCACGCCGCGAUGCAGAAGAUGAACCGGGACAUGAUGCAGGGGAUGAUGGACCCGGAUCCCGGAACAUCCUGGAUGAAGCAGAUGAUUGCGCAUCACCAGGGCGCGGUCGAUAUGUCCGAGGUUGUGCUCAAGCACAGCAAGGACUCGGAUGUGAUCAAGGAAGCCCGGAAGAC